AGCGAACGCUGGCGGCAGGCCUAACACAUGCAAGUCGAACGAACUCUUCGGAGUUAGUGGCGGACGGGUGAGUAACACGUGGGAACGUGCCGUUAGGUUCGGAAUAACUCAGGGAAACUUGUGCUAAUACCGAAUGUGCCCUUCGGGGGAAAGAUUUAUCGCCUUUAGAGCGGCCCGCGUCUGAUUAGCUAGUUGGUGAGGUAAAGGCUCACCAAGGCGACGAUCAGUAGUUGGUCUGAGAGGAUGAUCAGCCACAUUGGGACUGAGACACGGCCCAAACUCCUACGGGAGGCAGCAGUGGGGAAUCUUGCGCAAUGGGCGAAAGCCUGACGCAGCCAUGCCGCGUGAAUGAUGAAGGUCUUAGGAUUGUAAAAUUCUUUCACCGGGGACGAUAAUGACGGUACCCGGAGAAGAAGCCCCGGCUAACUUCGUGCCAGCAGCCGCGGUAA
rnacentral:rRNA from 1 species